rnacentral:rRNA from 1 species
UACGAAGGGUGCAAGCGUUAAUCGGAAUUACUGGGCGUAAAGGGUGCGUAGGCGGUUCGUUAAGUCUGUCGUGAAAUCCCCGGGCUCAACCUGGGAAUGGCGAUGGAUACUGGCGAGCUAGAGUGUGUCAGAGGAUGGUGGAAUUCCCGGUGUAGCGGUGAAAUGCGUAGAGAUCGGGAGGAACAUCAGUGGCGAAGGCGGCCAUCUGGGACAACACUGACGCUGAAGAGCGAAAGCGUGGGGAGCGAACAGG